GUCCAUGCCGUAAACGAUGUCAACUAGCCGUUGGGGACCUUGAGUCUUUAGUGGCGCAGCUAACGCGAUAAGUUGACCGCCUGGGGAGUACGGCCGCAAGGUUAAAACUCAAAUGAAUUGACGGGGGCCCCGCACAAGCGGUGGAGUAUGUGGUUUAAUUCGAUGCAACGCGAAGAACCUUACCUGGCCUUGACAUAUCCGGAACCCUGCAGAGAUGCGGGGGUGCCUUCGGGAAUCGGAAUACAGGUGCUGCAUGGCUGUCGU
rnacentral:rRNA from 1 species